UACGUAGGCAGCAAGCGUUGUUCGGAUUUACUGGGCGUAAAGGGUGUGUAGGCGGUUGUUUAAGUUUGGUGUGAAAUCUCCCGGCUCAACUGGGAGGGUGCGCCGAAUACUGAAUGACUUGGAGUGCGGGAGAGGAGAGUGGAAUUCCUGGUGUAGCGGUGAAAUGCGUAGAUAUCAGGAGGAACACCGGUGGUGUAGACGGCUCUCUGGACCGUAACUGACGCUGAGACACGAAAGCGUGGGUAGCAAACAGG
rnacentral:rRNA from 1 species